rnacentral:rRNA from 1 species
AAUCCAUAGGUUAAUGAGGCGAACCGGGGGAACUGAAACAUCUAAGUACCCCGAGGAAAAGAAAUCAACCGAGAUUCCCCCAGUAGCGGCGAGCGAACGGGGAGGAGCCCAGAGCCUGAAUCAGCAUGUGUGUUAGUGGAAGCGUCUGGAAAGGCGCGCGAUACAGGGUGACAGCCCCGUACACAAAAGCGCAUGUGCUGUGAGCUCGAUGAGUAGGGCGGGACACGUGGUAUCCUGUCUGAAUAUGGGGGGACCAUCCUCCAAGGCUAAAUACUCCUGACUGACCGAUAGUGAACCAGUACCGUGAGGGAAAGGCGAAAAGAACCCCGGCGAGGGGAGUGAAAAAGAACCUGAAACCGUGUACGUACAAGCAGUGGGAGCACCCUUUGGGUGUGACUGCGUACCUUUUGUAUAAUGGGUCAGCGACUUAUAUUCUGUAGCAAGGUUAACCGAAUAGGGGAGCCGGAGGGAAACCGAGUCUUAAUUGGGCGUUAAGUUGCAGGGUAUAGACCCGAAACCCGGUGAUCUAGCCAUGGGCAGGUUGAAGGUUGGGUAACACUAACUGGAGGACCGAACCGACUAAUGUUGAAAAAUUAGCGGAUGACCUGUGGCUGGGGGUGAAAGGCCAAUCAAACCGGGAGAUAGCUGGUUCUCCCCGAAAGCUAUUUAGGUAGCGCCUCGUGAAUUCAUCUCCGGGGGUAGAGCACUGUUUCGGCUAGGGG